GACGAACCGUGCGAACGUUGUUCGGAAUCACUGGGCUUAAAGGGCGCGUAGGCGGGUGACCAAGUCAGAGGUGAAAUCCUGCGGCUCAACCGUAGAAGAGCCCCUGAUACUGGUCGUCUUGAGGGAGGUAGGGGCAUGUGGAACUUCCGGUGGAGCGGUGAAAUGCGUAGAGAUGCGGAGGAACACCGAUGGCGAAGGCAGCCCCCUGGGCUGACACUGACGCUCAGGCACGAAAGCGUGGGGAGCAAACAGG
rnacentral:rRNA from 1 species